UACGUAGGGUGCGAGCGUUGUCCGGAAUUAUUGGGCGUAAAGAGCUCGUAGGCGGUGUGUCACGUCGGCCGUGAAAACCUGCAGCUUAACUGUGGGCGUGCGGUCGAUACGGGCAUCACUGGAGUUCGGCAGGGGAGACUGGAAUUCCUGGUGUAGCGGUGAAAUGCGCAGAUAUCAGGAGGAACACCGGUGGCGAAGGCGGGGUCUCUGGGCCGAUACUGACGCUGAGGAGCGAAGGCGUGGGGAGCGAACAGG
rnacentral:rRNA from 1 species